rnacentral:lncRNA from 1 species
CAAACAUGAAUCUAAUCUAUCGAGCUAGCAUCUCACUCAUAUCAUUUAGGAAUUUCAGAGCACUGCUUUAUUUCAUUGAAUCUAUCGUGGUCAACAAAUUCUUCUGCGACUGUCAUUUCUCCUCUAUCGCGGUCAACUCCGUAAGCUCCAAGCUCACUCCCGAAAACUCUACUUAAUGACUUCCAUAUGGGCUCUCCUCGCUUACUUAUUCCGUUAUUGAUUACCAAAUGGGAUCUUCUGACUCUUAUUCUUCUUCUUAUUGUGCUUGCUUGAGUGCAAAAGAAUACCUUUCGUUUUAGGCUUUCAUACCAGCCAGCCCAUUGAGAGUCUUUUCCUGGAGACAACACCUCAGCAGUAUUAAAGAGAGGGGAGAUCAAACAGAAAGAUACUCAUCGUCAACAACAACAACCAGGGCAGGGGUUCCUCAUUGCCCAGCUCUUGACCAUGGGCAUAGGUUAAACGACUCGAAAGAAGGAUUAGAUGACUGUUUGACUCGAAGCAACAAUACGUUGUGCGGAUGGUCGGUAUUUACUAAAUUCAAUACUGGGUGCUCGAUGCACAAGAGAUAGAUUGGAUUCUGAACUUCAAGUAGCCGAGAUCAAAAGCUUUCUCAGGUAAAUAAUAUGGAUCAAUGGAAUCCGCAGUACGCUUGUCAGCUGCUUUCUUGCCAGUUCCAGUUUCUGAUCUUACUCCAUCUGAUGCUCCCGCUUUAGACUCCGUUCCUGCUUGAACGCGUGCCUUAAACAAUUUCAGAAUAAGGGCUCGCUUUGCUUUAAAGAGGGCAAAGUCACAUAGAGAAGUCAAUCUAGUUAUUACCAUGAGUAGGGAAACAACUUCCUGUAGCAAGAAAAGAAAGGUGCUUCAAGCCUAGGGACAAUUAAGCCAGUGGAAGCAAGGGCUGUGAGGAAAGCUGUAAAUCUGCCGCUCUUAUAAAAUCCUGUAAUGUAAAAUGCUGUAAUGUAAAAGGUAAGUAAAGUAAAAGUAAGUAAAGUCAGUUGGCAAAGUCAAUCUAAGAAGAGGGUAAGCUGGUAGGUGAGCAAAACAAGCAUUUAUCCACUAAAUAGGAGGUCCUUGUGCUGGAAGCGAUAGGAGAGGGGCAAGAGGAAGGAAUACGAUCCUGCCAUCGAAUGAGAGUUUUCUUAAGAUAGUUAGAAUUGCCCUACCUUUGAUGGGAAGCUGGUGGGUUAGCAUGUUUAGGAAAAGCAAUAUGCCCCUUAUUGUUAUUUUAUAGAUUCAACCCUUACACCCUUUUGUUAUUUUAUAGAUCCAACCCUUACCCAGAAACUUGACCUGCGUCUUUAUUCUUACUAGGUUGGUUCACCCGAUGAAGCUCUUUCCCCUCCUAGGUUUCAUUCUCCCUAGUUCCUGGAAUAGUCGAAGUAGAAAGUCAAAUCCACCUAUUGUAUAGUCCGCUAUCAGUCCUUCUUUUAUGCAGCAGCAGUAAGGCGUAGCUCAGCUCACCACUCCAACUUGCAUAAGAAAUAAAACAGACUUGAUGCCUACCAGACGUAGCUACCAUAAUAAAUAAAACAGACUUCUAGAUUCGAAGAGACGAGCUUACUCAUCAAAGGGCUCACGAAAGGGACCAACGAACGGGAAAACAUUAAGGAAUGCUACUUCCCUAAACUACUAAGUCAAAUCCAAUAGAAAAGUGGUGGUAUAACCUUGACAGAAAGAAAGG